GUCAUUUUGUACACAUUUUCCAAUGUUAAUUUUGGUCACACUAUGGGGGCACUGUACCCCAAGGCUGAACAGUUUUGGGGUUCAAUGUCUUGUUCAAGGAAAAUGUAUUAAUUUGUAGAGACCAAUGCAACCAUCUGAGUUAUUUGUUAAAACAUCUAACAACUCUGAAGCUUUCAUCUGUGCUAAGAAAAAGUACUUGCAAUGUAUGGAGUCAGCACAAGUAUUAUGAACUGUAUAAUAAUGUGUAAUAGGUAAAGACAGAUAGCAAGAAGCACUGCACAUCAUUGGGACUGUCACUAGAUUUUGUCUCUUGCCUGAAGCCACAAAGCCGUCCUAUCAUAGCAACUGGCACAAAGAUACCAAGGCCAUGACAAGAAGCACAUGGAUUAUUUUUAAUUAGUUCAUUAUUUUUUCUUUCAUCUUUGCUCGUCUGUUUUUUUAUUUUUUUUAUUUUGUCUGACAGUGUAUUCUGUUGUUGGUCUUGGUUGUAUGCUUAGUGGCACUCUUUCUCCCUAUUCCUCUGUUAACCUCAGCAACCCUCUUUCACCCUCUCCCUCACUCUCAUUUUGGCACUGCCACGCCUGCUGCUGUCAAAGCAAACAGAGACAACCAGGGAGGUUUUUGUCUCUUGCCCUCUAUCUUUUUUUUGUUGUUUAAAAAAAAGGCAACAGAAGGGUGAAAUCAUCCUGUGGGUUGCCAGCUGGCGCUGGAAAAAAUCUGCUACAGGAAUCUGGGACAAUAUGAUUUGGAAUAUGAAUGGACAACACAGGGCCAGAAAUGCCCAACUAUGGGUAAAACGAGAAUUGCAAUUUCAAGGAAAACACCAACUCUUCAGCCAAUUUUAUAAUGGUGUUUGCUGAGAACACAGACUCCACAAGCAUCUGUGUGUCUACACUGUUAUUUGCUCCAAACUUUCAGUCUUCUGUAGAUAACGC